rnacentral:rRNA from 1 species
GUGGGGAAUAUUGGGCAAUGGGCGAAAGCCUGACCCAGCAACGCCGCGUGAAGGAAGAAGGUCUUCGGAUCGUAAACUUCUAUCCUUGGUGAAGAUAAUGACGGUAGCCGAGAAGGAAGCCCCGGCUAACUACGUGCCAGCAGCCGCGGUAAUACGUAGGGGGCAAGCGUUGUCCGGAAUGAUUGGGCGUAAAGGGCGCGUAGGCGGCCUGGUAAGUCUGGAGUGAAAGUCCUGCUUUUAAGGUGGGAAUUGCUUUGGAUACUGUCGGGCUUGAGUGCAGGAGAGGUAAGCGGAAUUCCCGGUGUAGCGGUGAAAUGCGUAGAGAUCGGGAGGAACACCAGUGGCGAAGGCGGCUUACUGGACUGUAACUGACGCUGAGGCGCGAAAGUGUGGGGAGCAAACAGGAUUAGAUACCCCGGUAGUCC